GAAAUUAUAAUUAUAUUAAAUAUAGUAGACAUGGUGCUUUUCAAAUGCAUAUCUGAUAUUUGACUGGGUUUUGAACUUUUAGUCUGACAGCCACAAUUGAGAAAGAAGAAAAACACAGCACAAGAAUGACUGAUUCUGCCAUCAUCACCUUUAUAAAAUGGUAAAGUACAAAAUGCCUCUUUUUUAAAAUUUGGGAUCUUUAAAAAAAAACUUUUGAAUUCAGUUCAUGAUGAAAUCAUUCUGGAGUCUGCAUGAGUUUUUUUUUUAUUAUUUUAUUUCUGUUCAUUUGUUUUUCAUUUGAUUUUGACUAUACAGUGUACAUACUCUUUACAAGAGGGGGAAAACUCCCUAUUUUGAGGGAUUGUUGACAGGGAGGCAAUCCUGUGGAUUUUAUACUGGGGUGAUCAUAAACUCAUGCUGCUAAUUGUCUGUGAAUAUUAAUUACAAAUUAACAUUUAUUGGUUAAAUAUGGCAAUUGGUCUUAAAUAAAAAUGACACAUCUCAGAUGCAUUUCUUUCUACAUAAUUUUUCCAAUGGUAGGUAAAAUAGAAGCAUCUGAGAUUUAAAGUCCCUGCAGCAUGUUACUGUCCUAUGCUUCCUACAGGAUCCACAGAAGAGGAGGGGGAAGUGCUCAUCAGCCUCUUCAUACUCUAGGCAUGGCUCAUGGAUGCAGCUUCAUCUGCAGCAGAAAACCCUUUGACUUGGGCUAUACGGAAGUUUUUGUGAAGGGUCAUCAUGGAGAAAAGGAUGUGAUAGGGUGGAGAGGUGCUCGAGAAGGGUCUGAAGGAUGCCUAAGAUUUAGACAGACAGGAAGUUGGUAAUCUGGGGAAGGAGACAGGCAUGGACAAUGACAAUAGCCAUAGCCACCCUUUACUGAGCACUUGCCAUGGGGCAGACACUGCACUAGCAUAGCACAUCGGCUCAUCCUAUUCUCACAGAGACUUCUAUUCCCAGCUUGCCUGAGGACACUCUGAAUAACCCUCUAUGCGACAGACUUGCCCUAUGUCAUAUGGAGGAUCUGAACCAAGAUCGGAUUCCAAAAACCUUCCCAGAACAAAUGACCCUCACAGGAAAUGCUGAUGGCACAGGACUUAAUGGAAGAAAGUGCAGAAAGAAGGCAUGGGAAAGAAUUUGGGGACAAUCAACCAGAUGCUUUACUGGUUUACCAAUAUUUCUAGUACUGAUGUCUUAAUGGCCUCAUGCAUUUUCUAUUCAGAAACACUGGGAAAUUGUGCUGUCAAUGGCAUGAUUCCCAUGUGACCUCUGGAUCAAACUAGAAACUAAAAACCAAGUUCCAGAAUAAAACUCUAAUCAAUAUUGCUGUUAGCAUAUUUACCAAACAAAGAGCCCCGUGGAAAAUGGAUGCUUGUUAUCUUGCUGGGUGACCUCCACUCCGUAGCCCUUUCCUG
rnacentral:lncRNA from 1 species